AUUGAACGCUGGCGGCAUGCUUUACACAUGCAAGUCGAGCGGCAGCGCGGGGGCAACCCUGGCGGCGAGCGGCGAACGGGUGAGUAAUGCAUCGGAACGUAUCCUCGAGUGGGGGAUAACCCAGCGAAAGUUGGGCUAAUACCGCAUGAGCUCUGAGGAGGAAAGCGGGGGACCUGCGAGGGCCUCGCGCUGGAGGAGCGGCCGAUGUCCGAUUAGCUAGUUGGUGGGGUAAAGGCUUACCAAGGCGACGAUCGGUAGCUGGUCUGAGAGGAUGAUCAGCCACACUGGGACUGAGACACGGCCCAGACUCCUACGGGAGGCAGCAGUGGGGAACUUUGGACAAUGGGGGCAACCCUGAUCCAGCCAUGCCGCGUGAGUGAAGAAGGCCUUCGGGUUGUAAAGCUCUUUCGGACGGAACGAAAUGGGCGGGACUAAUACUCCUGUCUGAUGACGGUACCGUAAGAAGAAGCACCGGCUAACUACGUG
rnacentral:rRNA from 1 species